GAUGAACGCUAGCGGCAGGCCUAACACAUGCAAGUCGAGGGGCAGCGGGGAUAAGCUUGCUUAUCCGCCGGCGACCGGCGCACGGGUGCGCAACGCGUAUAGAAUCUGCCCUGUACCGGG
rnacentral:rRNA from 1 species